UGCGUAGGCGGAUUUAUAAGUCAGUGGUGAAAUCCUACAGCUUAACUGUAGAACUGCCAUUGAUACUGUAGAUCUUGAGUACGGUUGAGGUGGGCGGAAUGUGUCAUGUAGCGGUGAAAUGCUUAGAUAUGACACAGAACACCAAUUGCGAAGGCAGCUCGCUAAACCGUAACUGACGCUGAGGCACGAAAGCGUGGGUAGCGAACAGGAUUAGAUACCCUGGUAGUC
rnacentral:rRNA from 1 species